AAGUGUUUGAUUUCUCUAGCUAUCGCUGAUUAAUACAUAAAUCUCUGUUAUUGUUUUACAGCUUUCUCUUUGAUUCAUCAAAACAUCAUCCGGAGGUACAAGAUGCACGAUUGCCAGAAGAAUCAGUGUAUCACAAUGUGCAAACAACACGGGGAAGAAACGUAAUAUUUGAUAUACCCGGAAGUUCUAACAUAGGGUGCGGUGCUGCAACCAGCGACAACCCAGGAUGAGGAAACUUGGUCUUCGUUUCAGCUUAGAGGCAGAUCCUUCAAGACUACAUUUACGAUGAUUUCAGAGAAAGGCUUUGGUAUAUAGCCAAGUUGGAUUGUAUAGAUCGAUCGAUUUAUCUAUAGCUAUAUUGCAAACUAUUCGUUACUUUGGAUUUCAUUAUUUAUUUGUUUGAUGCAAAAUGCAC